CCUGCGGCCAAGCAGCAGCAGAACAGAUAUUUGACAGAGAAAUUUUGUCUGCAUGUUGGGAAGGAAGAAGAAUGCUUCCUGUCCAAAGUUCUUAUGUCCACAAUGCCCCGGUAUGCAGGCAUGCAGAAUCAAGUCAUCAUUUUCUCCACCAGCGAGGAAAGUCUCAUGCAAAUGCCUUUAGCAAGAGUAUGGACUAUGUUCACAUAACAUUUUACAUUUUGCAAGGUGAUUUACAUCAUGUAAUCCUCACAACAUCACUGCUAUUAUAGCAGAAUCUUACUAGCGAAAAGAAAGAUAAGACAUUUUAUAUGCUUCGUACAGAGUUGAAAGGCACUUUCAAGACUAUCACAUGCAACCUGAGCAAGAAUCCCUUUUACAACAUAACAAAAAUAAUCAUUCUUCCUUCUCUUGGAUGUUCUGAAUGUGACGGGAAACUCAUUCCUUUCCAAGGCAGCCCAUUCCACUUCUGGACAGUUAUAAUUAUGUGGAAGUUUUUUCUUGUAUUGAGCAAAAAUCUGUUUCUUUGUAAUUUCUACCCAGUUCUCUUAGUUCUGCCCUCUGGGGCCAAGUGGAGUAAGUCUAAUCCUUUUCCCACAUAAAAGCCCUUCAAGUAUUUGAAGACUACUCUCAUUCCCCACCACUUCCCCAAUAUGAUCCUCUUUAGGCUAAAAAUUUUUAUCAUGAAGAAAAAUAUUCAAUAAUGGAACGUGUCAGAACCAGCCUAAAGCAGACUCAGGGAGGAGGAUCAUUUCUUCUACUUCCUUCCUUCCCCAUCGAGCCCUCAGUGAGUUUUUGCUGUCAGUCGCUUCUGUUAGGAAGAAGAAUGAAC